UAUUAUUUUUUUACUUUUAUUUUUUUAUUCAUUAUUUUUAAUUUAAGUUUAUUUUAUUUAUUGUUUGUUUUAGUAUUUUUUUUUUGAAUAUAUUUUUUUUUGUGAUAGUUUAUUAGUACUGUUAAGUUUUAUUUUAUUAUUUAAUAAGUAGGUAUUUUCUUUACCUUUUGUAUCAGGGUUUAUUAAUUUUUUUUUAAUUAUUUAUUUUUCUCGAAUAGGUUUGAUCUAUUAAGAUUUGUUAGUUAUUGUUUUAUUUCUAUUAAUUAUUUCUUAUUAGUUGUGAUAUGUUAUUCGUUUUCUUUGAUAUCUAGUUUUCUUAUAAUUGAAUUUAAUUCAACUAUUUUUAUUUAUCUUUUUAUUUUUAUUUUAUUAUUUAUUUUUAGUAAUUUUUUGGGGGACAAGCUCUAAUUAUUUUUUAUAAAUUAUUAUUUUUUGAUGAUAUAUAGGGUUUAUAAUUCUCAUUAUUAUUUAGUUUUUUAUAAUUUAUUAUUUUUUUUUUUUUGAUUUAUUUUUUUUUAAAUUCUUAUUUGAAUAAUUUAUUAAAUUAUUAAUUUUUUUUAAUAAUGAUGUAAUUAGUAUAUUGUUUAUAUGUUAAAUUUAAUUUAAGGAACUUGGCAAAAUUAUUUAUUCACUUGUUUAUCAAAAACAUCUUUUAUUUUGUUUAUAUUAGAUUUGGCCUGCCCAAUGAUUUAAUUUAAUGGCCGCGGUAUUUUGACCGUGCGAAGGUAGCAUAAUCAUUAGCCUAUUAAUUGUAGGAUUGUAUGAAUGGUUUGAUGAAAUAUUAACUGUCUCAUUUUAAUCUGUUAUAAUUUAAUUUUUUAGUUAAAAAGCUUAAAUUCUUUUAAUGGACGAGAAGACCCUAUAGAUCUUUAUUAUUAUUUAUUUUUAUUUGUUUUUGGUUUAUUUUUUAAUUUUUUUAUUUAUUAUUUUGUUGGGGUGAUAUUGGGAUAUGAUAAACUCUUUUUUUUUAUUUUCAUUUAUUUAUGUUUUUUUGAUCUUUUAUUAUUGCUUAUAAGAAUAAGAUACCUUAGGGAUAACAGCGUAAUUUUAUUUGAGAGUUCAUAUUGACGAUGAAGAUUGCGACCUCGAUGUUGAAUUAAGAUUAUAUUUAGGUGAAGUUGCUUAACUAUUAAGUCUGUUCGACUUUUAAUAUCUUACAUGAUUUGAGUUCAAACCGGCGUGAGCCAGGUUGGUUUCUAUCCUUAAUCUUAUUUAUUUUUUCUAGUACGAAAGGACCGUUAAAAUUGAAUAUUUUGUUUUUUUUUAUUUUUU
rnacentral:rRNA from 1 species